GACGAACGCUGGCGGCGUGCUUAACACAUGCAAGUCGAACGGUGAAGCGCCUUCCUUUUGGUGGGUGUGGAUGAGUGGCGAACGGGUGAGUAACACGUGAGUAACCUGCCCCCUUCUUCUGGAUAACCGCAUGAAAGUGUGGCUAAUACGGGAUAUUCUGCGCCUGCUGCAUGGUGGGUGUGGGAAAGAUAUUGUUUCGGUGGGGGAUGGGCUCGCGGCCUAUCAGCUUGUUGGUGGGGUGAUGGCCUACCAAGGCGGUGACGGGUAGCCGGCCUGAGAGGGUGGACGGUCACACUGGGACUGAGACACGGCCCAGACUCCUACGGGAGGCAGCAGUGGGGAAUAUUGCACAAUGGGCGCAAGCCUGAUGCAGCGACGCCGCGUGAGGGAUGGAGGCCUUCGGGUUGUAAACCUCUUUCGCCAGUGAAGCAGGCCUGCUCCUUGUGGGUG
rnacentral:rRNA from 1 species